rnacentral:rRNA from 1 species
UACGUAGGGAGCGAGCGUUGUCCGGAUUCAUUGGGCGUAAAGAGCUCGUAGGCGGCUUGGCAAGUCGGGUGUGAAAACUCCAGGCUCAACCUGGAGACGCCACCCGAUACUGCCAUGGCUAGAGUCCGGUAGGGGACCACGGAAUUCCUGGUGUAGCGGUGAAAUGCGCAGAUAUCGGGAGGAACACCGGUGGCGAAGGCGGUUCUCUGGGCCUGUACUGACGCUGAGGAGCGAAAGCGUGGGGAGCGAACAGG